rnacentral:rRNA from 1 species
AGCAGUAGGGAAUCUUCCGCAAUGGACGAAAGUCUGACGGAGCAACGCCGCGUGAGUGAAGAAGGUUUUCGGAUCGUAAAACUCUGUUGUCAGGGAAGAACAAGUACGGGAGUAACUGCCCGUACCUUGACGGUACCUGGCCAGAAAGCCACGGCUAACUACGUGCCAGCAGCCGCGGUAAUACGUAGGUGGCAAGCGUUGUCCGGAAUUAUUGGGCGUAAAGCGCGCGCAGGCGGCCUUUUAAGUCUGAUGUGAAAGCCCACGGCUCAACCGUGGAGGGUCAUUGGAAACUGGAAGGCUUGAGUGCAGAAGAGAAGAGCGGAAUUCCACGUGUAGCGGUGAAAUGCGUAGAGAUGUGGAGGAACACCAGUGGCGAAGGCGGCUCUUUGGUCUGUAACUGACGCUGAGGCGCGAAAGCGUGGGGAGCGAACAGGAUUAGAUACCCUGGUAGUCCACGCCGUAAACGAUGAGUGCUAAGUGUUGGGGGGUUUCCGCCCCUCAGUGCUGCAGCUAACGCAUUAAGCACUCCGCCUGGGAGUCCUCCCAUUGA